GCUCAAAUUCACCCAAACAGGUACGGGAUUCCUAAACUCAGCCCAGGCUUCAUUGACAAUACCUAAUACGCCUGCCUCUAUAACAGGCUGACUUUUAAAAUAAUAACUUUUUUUUUCUUUUUUGAGAUGGAGUCUCACUCUGUCGCUCAGGCUGGAGUGUAAUGAUGCGAUCUUGGCUCACUGUAACCUCCGCCUCUUGGGUUCAAGGGAUUCUCCUGCUUCAGUCUCUCAAGUAACUGGGAUUACAGGCACCCACCACUACGUCCAGCUAAUUUUUUUGUAUAAAAUAAUGACUUUUAAAAUAAUCCAAUAUAAUAAGAUCUAUUAAGCACUUAGUACGUAACUAUGAACCAGGGAUUGGGGAGAGAAAGGAGGAAGGAGAUUGGAUCUCACCCUCAAAAGAGUUUAGAAUCUCUCCACUGAGACUUUUAGGAGUUAGAGCAAUCUAAAGUGAAGAAAGACGAACAGGGUAAAACUCAGGAUAGUUUUUGUAAAAAGAAAUGUAAAACUGUUUGCCUUCCUGUUUCUUCGUCAAGGAUAAGUAAUUUCCAGUCAUCCCAUCUAUUAAACAAAUAUGUAUUAAGAAAGAAAAGCAGUCCAAGACCCUACUGUGGGCACAGCUGGGGUGCACAGAACCCAUCUUGGGAAGCUGGCUCUGCCCCUUGAGAAAGUUCAAGAUGAAGGGGACACCAAGGCCAGAGGCAAAUGUCCAGCCAUCACCAGCGGGGAUCACCUCGAGUUCCACGCGAGGGGCUCAGUGUUGGGUAAUCGAGAGUGGAAAGCUCUGGAAAAACCCUAAUACCCCUGUUGCAACAUUCUAGGAAAAUGGUCUGUCUAUUGAAUAAGAGUGAGUCACCAUGGGAAAGUUGGGGCGGUCAACACUACCCCGCGCUGCUCAUCCCCAUUCUUUGGCUCCUAGUGAUGCUCCGGUCACCCUCUGGGGGCCAUGGGGAGGAGGUGGUGACGCUGUGAUCCGGAAUUUCAACGAGACAUAUGCAAAUGGCCCAAUGGGCUGUGAAGGAAGUUCAGAGACAGGAGGACGAGGCAACUCAGUGUUUCUAACCCGCAAAGCAGAAGUGAGAAUGGAUGAAACAAUGACGCCCUCGUCAGAGGAUGGUGACACCAGGAUCUGACCCAGUCUUCCCAGGCUACCCCCGCAACUGGAAGCCCCCCAAGAUCGGACAGACAUAUUCUUUCAGGAAACACCACCACUCUGGUUUAUUUCAGCUGCAGGUCUGAUCUCCGUAACAGAGGUACACCUGAAAAAUACCGCCUUAGCCGCUGAGUUUUGAUAGAGCAAUUCUAUAUUCCUGGUAACUUCCACUGUAAUUAAUCGUCAAUUGAUUUCUCCGUCACUUACAUGUGAGUGUGAAGGCGCUGCCUUCUCUGUCAGGAAGUGAACUAUCUAUUGACAAAUGAGUCAAAGCCCUGGGCGGCUGUUACUUAUUCAUGAAGGAGGGUGUUGGCGCGUUUGGGUUUCCCCUCACCUGUCCAGCACGCCCUGGAAGACUGGAG
rnacentral:lncRNA from 1 species